GGUCGGGUAGCUCAGUGGUAGAGCAAUUGUCCGGAAAGCGAGAGACUCGGGUUUGAUUCCCGGUCCGGCGG
rnacentral:tRNA from 1 species